AUUGAACGCUGGCGGCGUGCCUAACACAUGCAAGUCGAGCGGUAACAGGUGUAGCAAUACAUGCUGACGAGCGGCGAACGGGUGAGUAAUGCUUCGGAAUCUGCCCAUGUAGUGGGGAAUAACCAGCCGAAAGGUUGGCUAAUACCGCAUACGACCUACGGGUGAAAGCAGGGGAUCGCAAGACCUUGCGCUAUUGGAUGAGCCGAAGUCGGAUUAGCUAGUUGGUAGGGUAACGGCCUACCAAGGCGACGAUCCGUAGCUGGUCUGAGAGGACGACCAGCCACACUGGGACUGAGACACGGCCCAGACUCCUACGGGAGGCAGCAGUGGGGAAUAUUGGACAAUGGGGGCAACCCUGAUCCAGCGACGCCGCGUGUGUGAAGAAGGCCUGCGGGUUGUAAAGCACUUUUAGUGGGGAUG
rnacentral:rRNA from 1 species